rnacentral:rRNA from 1 species
GACGAACCGUGCGAACGUUGUUCGGAAUCACUGGGCUUAAAGGGCGCGUAGGCGGGUGUGCAAGUCUGUGGUGAAAGCCCCCAGCUUAACUGGGGAAGUGCCGUGGAUACUGCACAUCUUGAGGAGGGUAGGGGCAUCUGGAACGGUCGGUGGAGCGGUGAAAUGCGUUGAUAUCGACCGGAACUCCGGUGGCGAAGGCGAGGUGCUGGACCCUUUCUGACGCUGAUGCGCGAAAGCCAGGGGAGCAAACAGG